UGCCAGCAGCCGCGGUAAGACGAAGGAUGCAAGCGUUAUCCGGAUUCAUUGGGUUUAAAGGGUGCGUAGGCGGCCCGGUAAGUCAGUGGUGAAAUCUCCUUGCUUAACAAGGAAACUGCCAUUGAUACUGCUGGGCUUGAGUACAGAUGCUGUGGGCGGAAUAUGACAUGUAGUGGUGAAAUACAUAGAGAUGUCAUAGAACACCGAUUGCGAAGGCAGCUCACAAAACUGUAACUGACGCUGAGGCACGAAAGUGCGGGGAUCAAACAGGAUUAGAUACCCUGGUAGUCCGCACUGUAAACGAUGAUUACUCGCUGUUGGAAAGCAAUUUCCAGUGGCUUAGCGAAAGCGAUAAGUAAUCCACCUGGGGAGUACGCCGGCAACGGUGAAACUCAAAGGAAUUGACGGGGGCCCGCACAAGC
rnacentral:rRNA from 1 species